AUUCGCCCUUAGAGUUUGAUCCUGGCUCAGGACGAACGCUGGCGGCGUGCCUAACACAUGCAAGUCGAGCGGAGACUUAUCGAAUGAAGUUUUCGGAUGGAUUUUGAUAAGUUUUAGCGGCGGACGGGUGAGUAACGCGUGAGCAACCUGCCCUCUACUGGGGAACAACACAUCGAAAGAUGUGCUAAUACCGCAUAAGACCACAGUGCUGACAUGGUACAGGGGUCAAAGGAGCAAUUCGGUAGAGGAUGGGCUCGCGUCUGAUUAGCUAGUUGGUGAGGUAACGGCCCACCAAGGCGACGAUCAGUAGCCGGACUGAGAGGUUGACCGGCCACAUUGGGACUGAGAUACGGCCCAGACUCCUACGGGAGGCAGCAGUGGGGAAUAUUGGGCAAUGGACGCAAGUCUGACCCAGCAACGCCGCGUGAAGGAAGAAGGCUUUCGGGUUGUAAACUUCUUUUAAGGGGGAAGAGCAGAAGACGGUACCCCUUGAAUAAGCCACGGCUAACUACGUGCCAGCAGCCGCGGUAAUACGUAGGUGGCAAGCGUUGUCCGGAUUUACUGGGUGUAAAGGGCGUGUAGCCGGGUCGGCAAGUCAGAUGUGAAAUCCACGGGCUUAACUCGUGAACUGCAUUUGAAACUGUUGAUCUUGAGUAUCGGAGAGGUAAUCGGAAUUCCUUGUGUAGCGGUGAAAUGCGUAGAUAUAAGGAAGAACACCAGUGGCGAAGGCGGAUUACUGGACGACAACUGACGGUGAGGCGCGAAAGCGUGGGGAGCAAACAGGAUUAGAUACCCUGGUAGUCCACGCUGUAAACGAUGGAUACUAGGUGUGCGGGGACUGACCCCCUGCCGUGCCGCCAUUAACACAAUAAAGAUCCCCACAUGGGGAGUAAGAUUGCAAGGUUGAAACUCAAAGGAAUAGACGGGGGCCCGCACAAGCGGUGGAUUAUGUGGUUUAAUUUGAAGCAACGCGAAGAACCUUACCAGGGCUUGACAUCCUACUAACGAAGUAGAGAUACAUCAGGUGCCCUUCGGGGAAAGUAGAGACAGGUGGUGCAUGGUUGUCGUCAGCUGGUGUCGUGAGAUGUUGGGUUAAGUCCCGCAACGAGCGCAACCCCUAUUGUUAGUUGCUACGCAAGAGCACUCUAGCGAGACUGCCGUUGACAAAACGGAGGAAGGUGGGGACGACGUCAAAUCAUCAUGCCCCUUAUGUCCUGGGCUACACACGUAAUACAAUGGCGGUCAACAGAGGGAUGCAAAGUCGCGAGGCAGAGCGAACCCCCAAAAGCCGUCCCAGUUCGGAUUGCAGGCUGCAAC
rnacentral:rRNA from 1 species